GUGACGAUCGUACAUGUCUU
rnacentral:miRNA from 1 species